rnacentral:ncRNA from 1 species
AAAAAUGCAAUGACCAAAACAAGUACACACAGGAUAACGGCACAGAGAGUAAGGGCCAUCGGCUGAAAGCCCCUAUCGAAGUUGAAUGUGAUGGAAUGCCUUUGGGAGCAGGAUGAUUGAACGCGAGUAGGUCAUCCCGGUUGCCGCCGUUACGGGUAUUGAGUGGCAGUCUAAGGACUGCAAUCAGAGUGGAACCACGGACCACCGUCUCUGUA